rnacentral:rRNA from 1 species
GACGAACGCUGGCGGCGUGCUUAACACAUGCAAGUCGAACGGAAAGGCCUAGCUUGCUGGGUACUCGAGUGGCGAACGGGUGAGUAACACGUGGGUGAUCUGCCCCUGACUUUGUGAUAAGCCUGGGAAACUGGGUCUAAUACCGGAUAUUCAUUUUUCCUCUCAUGGGGAUUGGUGGAAAGCUUUUGCGGUUGGGGAUGGGCCCGCGGCCUAUCAGCUUGUUGGUGGGGUAAUGGCCUACCAAGGCGACGACGGGUAGCCGACCUGAGAGGGUGAUCGGCCACACUGGGACUGAGACACGGCCCAGACUCCUACGGGAGGCAGCAGUGGGGAAUAUUGCACAAUGGGCGCAAGCCUGAUGCAGCGACGCCGCGUGAGGGAUGACGGCCUUCGGGUUGUAAACCUCUUUCAGCUCCGACGAAGCGCAAGUGACGGUAGGAGCAGAAGAAGCACCGGCCAACUACGUG